UACGUAGGGUGCAAGCGUUGUCCGGAAUUAUUGGGCGUAAAGAGCUCGUAGGCGGUCUGUCGCGUCGGCUGUGAAAACCUGAGGCUCAACCUCGGGCCUGCAGUCGAUACGGGCAGACUAGAGGUUCGGUAGGGGAGACUGGAAUUCCUGGUGUAGCGGUGAAAUGCGCAGAUAUCAGGAGGAACACCGGGUGGCGAAGGCGGGUCUCUGGGCCGAAACUGACGCUGAGGAGCGAAAGCGUGGGGAGCGAACAGG
rnacentral:rRNA from 1 species